rnacentral:lncRNA from 1 species
UAAUUACUUAAAAUAUGCACAUAAUAAUAAUAUAAUAUUAUUAUGAAAAUUAUCCUUUAAAUAAAUUAAUCAAACUAAUAAUAGUUCAAUUAAUUAAAAAUAAGAAAGCCCAAUUUAAUUAAUUGAAGGCAGUCCAAAGUCCUUAAAUAAAAUAAGGCCCAACAAAUUUAUUAAUUAAAAGCCCAACUGAAACAAAAAUAAAUAAAAUCUCGGCCCAAAUACUCAUAAAAAUCGGCCCAUGACUCGAGCCCACUACUAAUUAAAAUCGGCCCAAGCAAAAUAAAAAAAAUCGCAGCCCAAAACUAAUUAAUACCCGGCCCAACACUCAAGCCCACUCCCCAACUUCAAACCCAACCCCAAAGCCCAACACUCUAACUAAGCCCUAGCCCAACUCAAACCCAUAUCUCCUUCCCCCCUUCUCAUAUCAGACGCACACCUCACAAACACAAACGCACACACACGCAUACAGCAACACCCUCUUCUUUUCCGGCAGAGGUAGCAGCGCCGCCUCCGCCGCCCGACCGCCGUCCCCUGACUCCCUUCUCCCCCAUCUCUCGUCUCUCACACACAGACGCACGCACCCAACGUCGCCAACAGCCCCGCUCAGCCCUCUCUCCCUCGGUUCCGCCAGAAACUCCG